UACCAGCACCCCGAGUGGUCGGGACGUUUAUUGGGCCUAAAGCAUCCGUAGCCGGUUCUACAAGUCUUCCGUUAAAUCCAACUGCUUAACAGGUGGGCUGCGGAAGAUACUAUAGAGCUAGGAGGCGGGAGAGGCAAGCGGUACUCGAUGGGUAGGGGUAAAAUCCGUUGAUCCAUUGAAGACCACCAGUGGCGAAGGCGGGUCUCUGGGCAACAACUGACGCUGAGGAGCGAAAGCGUGGGGAGCGAACAGG
rnacentral:rRNA from 1 species